rnacentral:sRNA from 1 species
AGAGAUGUUGAGAAAUAGAAGCAACAAUGUAAUAUGUGCAUCAGCUAGUAAGAAUAUAUUCAAGUUAGUUUGGGGUGAAUGACUUCUAUUCUAGUGUGUGUCCCUUUGACCUUUGUCUAGAGAGAGAGAGAGAGAU